CCAGAAUUGUAGUUAUCAAACAGCAGUGGCUUCGCAAUUGGGAUGGUAGUCCACAUGCCACAUCUCCCUUUUCUUGUGGCUGUAACAUGCCUGUUGACAAUGGCGCAGUAGACAUCGUGUGGACAACUUUCUUGUCCUUCGACUGCAAAAACGGGAUGUUGCUUCGUCGUAGCCACCGAACAGCACCUCCCUUUGCCUUUUCCCACGAGGCAACCUUCAAUUCAGACGGCAAACACCGACGAUCUUUACGCGUCGUGCCACAAGCGAGGUUUUUGUGCUCUAGCAGGUGAACAGAGAGAGACGCAGAAAGUUAUUCAUGUAGAUAACAUAUCCUUGAUCAAGGUACUUGUUGCACAGCUACGUCACCACAUCAAAUGCUGGUCCACUGGCACAAGCUGUUUCACGUUUGCCGGUGUACACAUAAAAUUGAACAGAAUAGCCAGUCUGCAAAUCAGCAAGUCCCCACAAUUUAUAACCCCACUUUACAAUUUUGUCCCACAUGUAUUGCCGAAUACCCGAUCUUGCUUUCGGUUUGAC
rnacentral:lncRNA from 1 species